UGAGUCAAGAAAUGCUGCAUAUUUCAACUACAACUUUAAUGCUGUUUGGCACAGGUUUUUUCACUGUUUUGUGUCCAGCGGUCAGUAUAGAGGUUCUGCAAGGAGAAAAUGUUGCAAUAUGGUGUGAACACAACAUCCAUGUUACUGGAGACCUGUGCUGGUUCAAGCAAACAGCUUAUGCUGUUCCAAUAACAACUGUGUGCAUGAUAUACACAGAGAGUCGUCGUCAAAAUGUGGAGCCACGAUAUUUUGCCAAUUUUACAAUGAAUCAGAUGAUCAUGGAUCUGUACCUUAAAUCCACCUCUUUAACAAUACUGGAUGUGAAUGUUUCUGAUGCUGGCCUCUACUUUUGUGGAGCUAUGGGAUAUAAAAUGAAAUUCGGCAAUGGAACCAGACUUAAAGUGAAAGAUAAGAAUGAUAUGUCAAGAAAAAAUGACACAGAAACCUUAAAAAAUGAUCAUAAUCAAUCAUCUGUGACUGCUGAGGAUUGUUCUGGAAACAUCUUUUUUAUCCUGACAUUCAUAUUUGGUGGAUUUAUUAUUUUUACUUUCAAUAUUCUAAUCAUUUUUGGUAUUAUUAGAAAACACAAAAGACAGAAACAGAGAAAAGGUAAACUAUUUUUUCAAAGGGUUAAACAGAUUAAAUGAAUUACAAAUAAAGAAUGAAAACUUCAGUAAAUAAAUACUGAAUAAAAAGUAAAAUAGUGAGUAAACUUGCUUUGGAAAAGACAACUGAUUUAUCUCAAAAUCAAAGCAAUUUUUCUGCUUUGUGCCGCAGCUGCUGAACACCAAGCACAACAGCACGAUUACAAGGAGCAGGAACCUGAGUCAGUGGAGUAUUCUGCUGUACAUUUCUCCAGAAGAGAAAGACAAACUGAUACAGUAGUUAUGUAUGAGAUGUAUACUGAUGCCACAUAACUUACAUAUUCAAAGUUUUGUUCAUAAUAUAUUUCAUAAAUAACACUUCAAUGUACUGAUAAUAGUACUGAUAGUCAUGUGUAGGUUUUGAUACUCUGUUUUGAUAAUUCUGGUAACAACCAUACCAUAACGACAAAGAUACAUUGAUAUGAUUGAAAGAGUUUUUUAUAUUCUAAAUAUGUUUAUAGUAUGUAAAUAUAUUGUGUUGAUGGUUCCUUGUUUUUAAACAAUAAUCUUAUUAAACUUAUACACUGUGUAUAAAUUGAAAGCUGCUCUACUUAAACAUUUUUUUUUACAAUUGGUAACACUCAAUUUAAGUGAAACAUUUAGGAUAAAAAAGUUUUUUAAGAAUAUUUUAGGAACUUCUUAAGUUUUUCACUUAAACUGAGAAAAGUUGAUACAACUUUUACUUUUUUACAGUGUUUGCACAAAUUUUAACAAUGAAAAUUAAGUUGCUAUGCUUAAACAGUUUUCACACUACACUCUUAAAAAUUAAACUUCCUAAACGCUUCCAAGCUUUGUUGUUUGGUUUCAUAAAAAACUUUUCACACACAGAGAAGCUUUCUGUUGCAUUAAA